rnacentral:rRNA from 1 species
UAUCAAUAAGCGGAGGAAAAGAAACCAACAGGGAUUGCCCCAGUAACGGCGAGUGAAGCGGCAGCAGCUCAAAUUUGAAAUCCGGCCCCCCGCGGCCCGAGUUGUAAUUUGCAGAGGAUGCUUUUGGCGAGGCGCCCUCCGAGUUCCCUGGAACGGGACGCCGCAGAGGGUGAGAGCCCCGUACGGUCGGACGCCGAGCCUCUGUAAAGCUCCCUCGACGAGUCGAGUAGUUUGGGAAUGCUGCUCCAAUGGGAGGUAUAUGUCUUCUAAAGCUAAAUACCGGCCGGAGACGAUAGCGCACAAGUAGAGUGAUCGAAAGAUGAAAAGCACUUUGAAAAGAGGGUUAAACAGUACGUGAAAUUGUUGAAAGGGAAGCGCUCGCGACCAGACCUGGGCGCGGCGGAUCAUCCGGCGCUCCCCGCCGGUGCGCUCCGCCGCGGUCCAGGCCAGCAUCAGCCCGUCCCCCGGGGGACAAAGGCCCUGGGAACGUGGCUCCUCCGGGAGUGUUACAGCCCAUCGCGCAAUGCCCUGGGGCGGGCUGAGGCACGCGCCGCCCAGCGCGGCAAGGAUGCUGGCGUAAUGGUCGCCAGCGACCCGUCUUGAAACACGGACCAAGGAGUCGUCUUCGUAUGCGAGUGUUCGGGUGGGCAAAACCCUACGCGGAAUGAAAGUGAACGCGGGUGAGAGCUUCGGCGCAUCAUCGACCGAUCCUGAUGUGCUCGGAUGGAUUUGAGUGGGAGCAUACGGGGCCGGACCCGAAAGAAGGUGAACUAUGCCUGUAUAGGGUGAAGCCAGAGGAAACUCUGGUGGAGGCUCGCAGCGGUUCUGACGUGCAAAUCGAUCGUCAAAUAUGGGCAUGGGGGCGAAAGACUAAUCGAACCUUCUAGUAGCUGGUUUC